rnacentral:rRNA from 1 species
UACGUAGGGUGCAAGCGUUGUCCGGAAUUAUUGGGCGUAAAGAGCUCGUAGGCGGUUCGUCGCGUCGGCUGUGAAAACCCGGAGCUCAACUCCGGGCCUGCAGUCGAUACGGGCGGACUCGAGUUCGGCAGGGGAGACUGGAAUUCCUGGUGUAGCGGUGAAAUGCGGAGAUAUCAGGAGGAACACCGGUGGCGAAGGCGGGUCUCUGGGCCGAUACUGACGCUGAGGAGCGAAAGCGUGGGGAGCGAACAGG